rnacentral:piRNA from 1 species
GGAACUGUUCUGUUGCAGGGCCUCCAA